GCGUCAGAGAGGUAGCCCCCGAGGAGGCCGAAGAUAAAGAUUGUGCCGACAAAGUUGGUAACAAUAUUGGCCGCUUUAGACAAGGGGAAAUGCAUUUCGUUGAUAACAUAUGUUAUAAGGUUGUUCCCUACUGCUGCUAUCCCCAUUAUCUCAAAGGCUUGUAGUCCUUAAAAAUUAAAAAUCACAAAUCUAUAAGCCAUAGAAUAAUUAUGAAAUCUUAUAUUGACCAAGGUCCAUGGAAUAAAUAAUUAUGGUUAGUGGGACCAUAAAUUGGAUAAGCUGGGUUCUUAUCGACCAAGACACUAGUAUAAUAUGAUCCAUCACCGGUUAGAAACAAAUCUUUAACACUAAAUUAGUUUUUGAGAGAGAGAGAGUACCCAGAACAAAGAGAGCAGCUCUCGUUCCACCAUGCUUGGGGUUGGAUGGUCUUCCUCUCCAAUCAACACUUUCUUCUUCAGUCAGUUCCCAGUUAUUCAUUUCAUUACUAAUCUCCUCUUGUUCCCAUUUUUUACUUUGAUUGUUUGCCUCUUCCAUCUCUCACAAACCACACAGACAAUCAAAAGUUUCUCUCUCGAUAUUUAUGCUUUAGCUGUGAGAGAGAGGAGAAAGAAAAAAAGAUUGGUUAUCAAUUGGUUUAUGUUUUAGUUUCUUAAAGACAAAUAGAGUUGGCCGAUUGGCCCUUCAAUUUAUAAUAGAGUAAAGAUGAAGAGAGGGAGCCAAAGUCAUUGACUUUUUAGCCUUGUGUAUUCAACCACAAUUAUAGUUUUGAAAUUCAACAAUAUAUUUUGACUUUUAAAUACCCCACAUCUUUUUUUUUUAUCCACCUAAUAAUUCAACACACAUUCAACUUUCUACUUUUUAAUUGUUUUGUUUAAUUAUAUUCAACACCAUAUCUUACCAUCUUCAUUUCAUAUACUAUUUACUAUAUAUUAUUGUUAACUAAAAUUAAAUUAAAAUAACUAAAAGUUUUGAAAAUUAUUUUUCAGAAAUAUAAUUAAAGAAAUUGUGUUAAAAGAGUUAUUGUUAAGAUUUAUUUCAAAAACUAUUUGAAAAAUAUUUUCUAUGUCCAAAAAAUGAAAUCAAUCUCUAUUUAUAGAGAAUGUGAAAUAAAUAAAUUUUGAUAAAUAAACGUAAUUGAAUUGAUUAAAGAAUAAUUAGUGUUAAAUAAUAAAGAUGUAAUAAAAAUAACAAAAAACUUUACCACUAAUAAUAACAAAACACAUGGUGUUGGUGAUUCCAUAUUUUUUUUAUUUAACUUGUUGAAUUCAACUAUGUUUACUUCACAUCAUUGUUUAUUUUUUCAACAUCCUUAUAAUAUAAUUUCAACAGUUAAAUAGUUUACGAAUAUGCUCAUUGUAAAGAGUUAAACAUGUCCAUUGUAUGCAGUCUAGCACUAAGUUUUGAUUCUAGGCAGAAACGAAAACGCCGUGUGUCUCUCAGUUUGUCCCACACGCAUUUUCUACAAAAGGUGUGAAUCUCUCUCCCACCACAAAUUUUUCAUUUUCAAUUUGAUACUUAAUUUUGAUAGAUCAGUUGAAUUUAGAAUGGUAUAAGGUAUUGAAUAAAUGUGUGUGUGUGUGUGUGUGUUUGCGAAAAUGAUGGGCAUUAUAUAAGGGAUGGUUAAAUACAAAAGAUAUUAGGUUUUAUACUUUUUGAUGUUUACUUGUUGGUCAUGUUACUUUCAUUCCCCUUUUCAGCGUGUAUAUAUGAAGAGUCAAAAGUUUAUGUCAUUUAUAUGAACUUCCAUGAUACACCUCACUAUCGUGCAUGUUUAAAGCAUUUGGUUGUAAUUUACUGGAAUUUUUAAAGGGUCGGGUUGUAUUUGUUGAUAACGGUUUGUGUCAAUAAUAUACUGUAUUGCUUUUGUGUUGUGCUAUCAUACUCUGUUUCUCUUUUUACUGUCUCGUCACACUUUAUUUAGGUCCAAAUACAUGACGCACAUUAUUAAUUAAACACUUUCUCGUGGAACAAUAGUUGGGUUCACUCCUGUGGUGAAUAGUUAAACUCACCUCACUUCUUAUAAUCAACUAAAAUGCCAUGUAGGAUUAGUUAAAAAAUGCAAUAAAUUUUUUAAAAAUGGUUGAAAAAAACAACACCAACUUUAAUACCAUUUAAAAAAACCCGAGAUUCUAAAAAAUCUAAAAUCUAAACCCUAAACCUCAAAUCCUAAGCUCUAAACCCAAAUCUUAAACCCUAAAUCCUAAACUUUAAACCCAAAAUCCUAAACUCUAAACUCUAAACCCAAAAUCCUAAACUCUAAACCCAAAAAUCUAAGCCAUAAACCCUAAACCAUCAAUUCUAACCCCUAAACUCUAAAGCUUAAAUUCUAAACCCUAAACCCAAAACUCUAAACAAUAAACCCGAACUAUGAUCAAGUAAUGCGUUUAGGGUUUAGUUUAGGGUUGUGUUUUGGGUUUAGGAUUUAUGAUUUAGGGUUAGAGUUUUGGGUUUAGGGUUUAGGAUUUUGGGUUUAGAGUUUAGGGUUUAGGAUUUUGAGUCUAGAGUUUAGGAUUUAGAGUUUUGGGUUCAGGGUUUAGGGUUUAAAGUUUAGGUUUUAGGUUUAGUGUUUAGAUUUUUGAUUUUUAGAGUUUCGGAUUUUGCAAACGGCUUUAACGUCGGUGUUGUUUUUCUCAGCCAUUUAUUUUUUAAUUUUAUUACCUUUUUAACUAAUGCUACAUGGUACUUUGGUUGGUUAUAAAUAGUGAGGUGAAUUUAACCAUUCACUAUGGGGAUGAACCUAAGUAUUGUUCUUUCUUGUGCGGCAAACAUCUUGAACUUCCGGAACAAAAUCACUAAUAUUAAAAUUUGCUAAAAAUUAAUAGUAGUAAUGAACUAAUUCCGAUUCAUGGUAUUAAGUAACGAAAUAAAUCUUUUUUUAUAUUGGGAUAUAGUGGUUGAUUAUUCCCUCUGGAUUUCAAUCAUAAUUAACCAUUGUAAAUCAUCUUAAAUGGUUGAUAAAAAAAAAGACGAUACAAGUAAAUGAAAAAAUAUACAAAUUUCGCACGCUCAAUUGGAUCACUCUUUUGCAAAAUGCAUUCAACAGCAUUAGGCAAAAAUGUAAAUCCUAGAAAUAGCAUGUUUUGGGGUCUCACAAACAUCUCUAUUAUUAAAAUAGAAGUACAGUUAUAAAAUAUCCCAAAGUUUUUCUACUUAUUUACAAUAAUAUGUCAUUGAAGUAAUUAAAUGAACAUAUCUUUAAAUAAUCAUUGUUUUUUCUUAUUUAUUAAAUUAUUUCCUAAAUCAAAUUUAGCUUAAUUUUUGCAUUUAAUAUGUUUCCUAAAACAAAUUUGCUAAUUUUGGCGAAUAUUCAAAUUUAAAAUCGAUUUUAACAAUAUCAAACUUGGAUAAUGUUACCAUUAGUUAUUUUUGAACAAAAUUCAAGUUUAAAUUUGAUAUUAAACAGUAUGAUGAAUAUUCCUAAAAUAUAUGUUUAACUUACCAUUAAUUAUUUUGAACAAUAAAAUCUAUAUAUGCUAAGAUAUAUUUAAAUAUCUUUAAACUACUUAUAGAACAAUAUGAAAUAUUUGUAACUGAAUAUUAUUUUUAAUAUAAUUAAAUCUCGCCUAAGAUUAUAUAUAUUUCAAAAUUUUCUAAAACAUAUGUUUAACCAUAUUGGUUACUAUUAAUUAUUUUUUAAAAACAAUUAAUAUUAAAAUUUAAAUAUCUUUGAAUUACUUAUGAAACACUGUUUAAUGUUUAUAACCAAAUAUUCUUUUCUAGCGUAUCUAAAUCUCACCAUAUGCCCCAUAUCUGAUCAAAAUAUUUAAAUUCUUAUUACAUUUGGAAAACAAUUUCAUGUUAAAAGACAUAUUACUCAAACAUAUCAAUAGAUCAAUAUUUCUCGAAAGUUUAGUGUCGGACAUGAGUCACUAUUUUUUACAGCAAGUAAACUAUUUGAUUGUUGUGUUUAUAAAAAAUUUAAAAUAUGAUAAAUAUUUAAAAUAUAAACCAAUAAACGUUUAAAUAAUAUUCAUUUAUAUAAAAAGUGAAAAUAAAUAGGGAAAAUUUGGAUAAAUGCACUUUAAUAAGAAUAUAAUUUAAAAAAUACACCCUUGUUUAAGCUUUUUGAAAAAUACACUUAUCUAUAUAUAAAUUUACCAAAUUGGCCAAUCUUAAUAGUUAUCAAUUCCAAUUAAACAAUUUUAAAAAAAAAUAUUUUAAAAGAAAAUCAUUAGAGAUAGGGAAUUAUUUGUGAAUCCACUGUUCAGAAUUUCUUCCAACUCUUUCAUAUACACAUGAAAGUAAAUUUUCGAUAAGACUUCAAUGCAAGCAACACCGUAUGUUUUAUGUGACUUUAAAGUGCUGGUAUGUGUUUGUUCUUCUUCUGCCUUUCUUUUUUCAUUACUUCAUUUUUGAAUCUUGUACUUCAUCUCUAUAUAAACAACAUAAAUUAAAAAAUUUGUAAGAUACAUGAAUCAAAUCAUUGGCUCAAACCGAUUUAUUGGAUUUUCAUGACACGUAAAAAAAGAAGAACAAACCGAUGAAUAAUAAUCAGUGCAAUUCUUUUUCAUAUUCAAAAUCAAAAAAAAAAUACAUAUCUGAAUACAUCAUAUUAGCUAGAACUUACUUGGCUCCAGUAGAGAAGAUGAAAAUUUUGUACAAACAAACGUUACUUGUUUUUCUUUUUUAACAACAUGACUUGUUUAUGUAAGUUGAAGAAAAUAAAAUAAAGGGAAAUCUGUAUAAACAUCAUGAUAAAAUCAAAACAAGUCAUAAUUCACAUGUUUAUCUUUGUUAUUGUAAAAUUUAAAUGGUAAAAUAACAUAUUUAUCUUAACACACAUAUUUAUCUAAUUUUAAUGAUAUUAUUUUAUUAAUUUUGAAUUUAUAUAUUAAUUUCGAAUUAUAUCUUGGGUAAAAAGGUCAAUUCAUAAUUAAAGAAGUGUAUUUUUCAAAAGUUAAAAUAGAAAAUGCAAUUAUCAAAUUUCAAAUCCUAAAUAUGGUAUUUUGCAAAUUAUCCCAAAUAAAUAUCCAUGCGGACGCGCGGGUCAAGAUCAAAUAUUAUCUUAAGGUGACUAAUUUAAACACAAUGGAUAGAUACGGAUGCAAAAAUUUAAGCAAGCAACAAUUGCAAUUUAAAAUGUUUUAAGCGAUUCAUGCGACUGCCGUCAAGAGAGAAUGUUAAAAAAAAGUGGUGGAUGCACAUGCACCCAGUGCUUUGUUACGUAUUUUGAGUUUUAAACAAGGUUUCUCUUUUUACUUCUAAAUAUAUUUAUGAAUUAUCUAUCUGGAAUAACAAAUGGUCGAGAAAAACAACUUUUGAUAUUAAAAGAUUAAAGCAGUAUGAAAGGAUAGAACUAUACAAACCAGUGGAAAACGGAUUCUUUUUAUUACUGUCAGAUGUCUAACAAAAUUACAUGUUGUUUAGAAACAAUAUUAUGCAAUUUAGUUAUAUUUUAUUAGAUACCAUAUCGUAUUAUAAAUAACAUGACUAUACCAUUGGUCAAAAUAUUAAAAUCCUUUGAAAACUCUUUAAUAACAAUAUUGACUCAUGAUCAUCGAUUUUAAUAAAAAUACAAUUGAUUAUUUAGCAAACUUAUCUUCUUUUUUUUUGUAACAUAGCAAACUUAUCUUACAAGUUUAUUUAACAGGAGUUGAACUAAAACUAAUAUAUGCGUACUAUUCUAGGAAAUACUGAAAAUAGUUAAACUUACCAGCUAAACAUUCAUUUUGUGUUAAAGACUUAAAGUACGUGCAUUCGUUAACUUCAUCUUUUUUUUUAACUCUCUUUUACUUUCUCUUAAUUUUUUUUUAAAAAAUUCAUUGAUGAAAACAUAUUACAACCAUUACAACAACAACAAACCAGAAAUAACACGACAUGCUGCAACAGUUACGCGAAGGAUAUAUGAUAUGAGGACCAAAACUUCUAUAGGAAACAACUGCUAAUCCCCAAGAAGAUAGUAAGGAGCUCGAGAACUUGUUGGAACUAAUUUUUUAUAAGCUUAACGGACUGAGUAAAAAAUUGAAUAAGUGUGAAUAUAAUUUUUAUAAGCC
rnacentral:lncRNA from 1 species